ensembl:snoRNA SNORD57 small nucleolar RNA SNORD57
UGCGCGUGAUGACGACACUUUCCCCGACUGAAACAUGGGGGUUAACUGAUUUAAUGAGCCUGACGC